AUUGAACGCUGGCGGCAGGCCUAACACAUGCAAGUCGAGCGGAUGAAGGGAGCUUGCUCCUGGAUUCAGCGGCGGACGGGGGAGUAAUGCCUAGGAAUCUGCCUGGUAGUGGGGGAUAACGUCCGGAAACGGGCGCUAAUACCGCAUACGUCCUGAGGGAGCAAGUGGGGGAUCUUCGGACCUCACGCUAUCAGAUGAGCCUAGGUCGGAUUAGCUAGUUGGUGGGGUAAAGGCCUACCAAGGCGACGAUCCGUAACUGGUCUGAGAGGAUGAUCAGUCACACUGGGACUGAGACACGGUCCAGACUCCUACGGGAGGCAGCAGUGGGGAAUAGUGGACAAUGGGCGAAAGCCUGAUCCAGCCAUGCCGCGUGUGUGAAGAAGGUCUUCGGAUUGUAAAGCACUUUAAGUUGGGAGGAAGGGCAGUAAGUUAAUACCUUGCUGUUUUGACGUUACCAACAGAAUAAGCACCGGCUAACUUCGUG
rnacentral:rRNA from 1 species